AUGAACGCUGGCGGCGUGCCUAAUACAUGCAAGUCGAGCGAACGGACGAGAAGCUUGCUUCUCUGAUGUUAGCGGCGGACGGGUGAGUAACACGUGGAUAACCUACCUAUAAGACUGGGAUAACUUCGGGAAACCGGAGCUAAUACCGGAUAAUAUUUUGAACCGCAUGGUUCAAAAGUGAAAGACGGUCUUGCUGUCACUUAUAGAUAGAUCCGCGCUGCAUUAGCUAGUUGGUAAGGUAACGGCUUACCAAGGCAACGAUGCAUAGCCGACCUGAGAGGGUGAUCGGCCACACUGGAACUGAGACACGGUCCAGACUCCUACGGGAGGCAGCAGUAGGGAAUCUUCCGCAAUGGGCGAAAGCCUGACGGAGCAACGCCGCGUGAGUGAUGAAGGUCUUCGGAUCGUAAAACUCUGUUAUUAGGGAAGAACAUAUGUGUAAGUAACUGUGCACAUCUUGACGGUACCUAAUCAGAAAGCCACGGCUAACUACGUG
rnacentral:rRNA from 1 species